CUUAGAACUAUUCUGUCAUAGAGUCUGUCACAGAGAAGCCCAAGUCAUAUGAGAGAACAACAUGGAAAAAAACUAAGGAGAUAUUUCAGUUGAUAGCCUCAACAGGUCCUAUGGAUUCAUCAGUGAACAAAAAGAAAAAAAGAGAGAAAGAAAGUGAAAACAGAAAACCUGCUCAAGUAAAGGUUAUGUUGUGAUGGACUCUGUAGAGAGAGGCUGACAAUAAAUAAGACAAAUAAGAAAGUCAUGCCUUGGAAAAUAAAAAGUACUGCAAGGACAAUUAAGCCAACAAAAAGUACAACAAAGAAAACAGGAGUACUACCAAGUACCCAAAGGAAAAGGUAUAAGGAGUGCCAGGAAAGCAAAUGAGAGAGUUGGGCAGGAGGAGAGGUAGAGGAAGAGGAAGAGAAUCUCAAGCAGACUCGGAGCACUAUGUGAGGCUUCAUCUCACAACUUCAAGACCAUGACUGGGGCUGAAACCAAGAAUCCAAAGCACAUCCAGAGCAUCCACUACAUCCUUACAGUGAGAUUGCAGUGACUCUAAUCCUGGCCAUGACUUCCAGGAUGUUUGUAGCGGCCAUGUGAAGCAAACACAUCCAUCAAAGAUCAGGACAGCUAAAUGGCUGUCCUGGUAGGGAAUCCAGGCAACAUUAAAUUGCUUUUCAAGGAAAACACCAGUUCUUAAUAUGUGGAGAAUCAGAGAUUCACUAUAGUAAUCA